rnacentral:lncRNA from 1 species
AUUUUCCGCUGCCGCCAACGCGUCUGGGCUCCGCGCAGCUACUUCUUCCGGCCUUGUGGCCGUUGUUUAUCUAUUCGGUGCCCCUUUUCCGCUCUCAAAAAAGGUCGGGCUCCCACAUAUUUUUACGGGUUCAUUGUUAAAUCCGAAAAUUUCACUGUUCUCAGAAAAUUUAUUUGCGGAAAUAAUAAUGCAUCGUAUCAUUUUGUUUGUUGAAUAGGUUAAUAAUAUUGAACUUCUUUCUUUUUGACAUGUUUUUUUUUCGCUAUGUAAGAAGAUUGUGGGUUUGGUCCGUUAUUAUUUGUUAGUAUAUGUUUAAUCUAUGUGUAACCUUGGAUAUGAUAUGACAUGGUACAGUUUUAUUGAAUUUUUCUUUUUGUUUUUAUUUAUUUAUUAUAUCUUAUGAUCUGAUGAGUGAUAAUUUGAAUUUCUAGAAUUUUGGAGUUUUCUGGUUGGUUAAAUUCAAUUUGUCUUUGGAAAAUCUCAAUGAAGGGGAAACACAAAAAAAUUUGUUUGAUAAUAUGAUGAAACCAUUUUUGCUAUUGUGAUAUCCUGCGCAAAAUAUAUAUUUAUUUUGGAUAUAUUUUGCCUUUGUUUGCAUCUCUAUUUUAUUUUUCAUUGCCAGCAACAAGUUUAUGUUUUCAUGAUUUAGAUACCAACUAAUUUUGAAUUCCAGGGUUUAAUUUGUGAAUAGUGUUACUAUGGACCUGAACCGUUCCAUGAUUAUAUUGCUUCGUGGAUUUCUGCACAAAACCGUAAUUCAUCGUCCUAUGUUCAGACUGGGGACAAGGUACAUUGAUUUUAGUUUAAACCUUACUACCUUAGUUAUUUUGAUUUGCACUUGAGAUCAUUAGAAUUUGCUAUCUUAUUAAACGUAAGUUGCGUUUAUUGGAAAUCAUCAGUGAAUCCUAUCGGAUAAUUAUUCCAGAUAGGAUCACCUAGCAGAGGUAAAAUGUAGUUUUGUUUUGGAAAUUUUAUUGGUAUUAUUUUUCGCUUUCAAGAAUACACUUUGCUUUGAAGAUGAACAUUUUCAUCAAGUUUUUCUCUACGAGAAUUUUUAGAAAAAUGUCAUAAUAUUGUUAUUAUUUCUCUAAGAUUUUGAUUGUAUUCUUUGUUUGUGAAUUUGCAAAUUUGUAUAUUGCCAAAGUUUUCCUUCUCCUUUUAUUUUUGCACCAUGCUUUCUGCCAAUUUAUUCUUAUUUUUCAAUUGUUAUGUUGUUCAUACUUGGGAAUGGCAAGUGUUAUUAUGAUUAGGUUGUGGAGUUUUACACAGGGAUAUGUGUAUGUCAACUGAUUUUGAGGUUGGAGGGGCCAUCAUUUUAUUAUUUAUAAUAUGUAAUGGCCACAUCGGAUUUUUCCCAAGCAGAUACAAAUGCUCUUUUCACAAUAUUAUUUCAUGAUUUCAUGAGUUUUUUUUCUCAUGGUCUACUAGGGACUGUUAUACAAAGAUUGUGGGUUGGUACACACAAAAUGCAUCAGGUAUCAUAUUUCGGGUUUCAUAUUUUUGUCUCUUUUAGAUUUAUUUUUAUUUUCAUUACACGGAGUUUGUUGACAGCUAAAUAGUGCUGGACAGUUGCAAAAUGUAGCAACUUCCUUACAGGAGGAGUUUUGGAACUCAAUGGACGCAGCAAUGAAAAAGCAUGGCAAGCUUUCUGCUGAGAUCAUUAAUUAU